AGCAGCCGCGGUAAUUCCAGCUCCAAUAGCGUAUAUUAAAGUUGUUGCAGUUAAAAAGCUCGUAGUUGAAUUUCGGGAUCAAGGAAUCGGUCAUGCCUCGGUAUGUACUGGUUUUAUUGGUUCUCACCUUCUAAAGAACCAUAAUGUCAUUCAUUUGGUGUUAUGGGGAAUUAGGACUGUUACCUUGAAAAAUUAGAGUGUUUAAAGCAAGCUUACGCUUGAAUACAUUAGCAUGGAAUAAUGAAAUAGGACAUCCGAUUCUAUUUUGUUGGUUUCUAGGAUCGAUGUAAUGAUUAAUAGGGAUAGUUGGGGGCAUUAGUAUUCAAUUGUCAGAGGUGAAAUUCUUGGAUUUAUUGAAGACUAACUACUGCGAAAGCAUUUGCCAAGGAUGUUUUCAUUAAUCAAGAACGAAAGUUAGGGGAUCGAAGACGAUCAGAUACCGUCGUAGUCUUAACCAUAAACUAUGCCGACUAGGGAUCGGAUGAUGUUUUAUUUUUAGUGUACUCA
rnacentral:rRNA from 1 species